UUGUCAUUGAUUAUCCCACUUUGCAACACAGUAAUACAACAGAGACCUUAUUUAUUGAUAUUGAUUGAUUUUAAUAUCGAUCGAUCCAACACCCAAGAUUCUUUUGUCAGUCAAUAAAACGUUACCAAAAUCUUUUCA